UAGGCUAUUGCAAAACAAAUGUCUAAUUCUCUCUAUUAAAUCAAUCACCAGUUUAGCUCUGAUAUGGCUGUAGCUCUAUGAUGUCCUUUGCAAGAAUCUAAUCUGACAUUGACAUGAAAUUCCUAUGUCCUUCAAGUAGUACAGAGAGAUGAUGAUGAUCCCCCGAGGGAGGGGAGGGAGGUUGUUGAGGAAGAACCAGUGGCCCAGCUCAAGAAGGAGCCCAAGAAGACAGGAAAGGUGAAGAGGAAAAGUAGUGCCAAGAAGUCAGGGGAGCAGGGCACUGAUACGGAUGCAGGAUUGAGGAAUAAACACCCGGACAAAGGAUCUGUUAUUGAGCUCUUGGAGAAGAAUGCUCUUAAGGCUGCAUUCGGUCCAGGCAACAAAGAUGAGAUGGAGGACUGCUACCCAAUCCUCAUCUCAUUCAUGCGCAAUCUUACUGAUGAGUAUGUUAGAACCAUGUUUUGCUCUAGCCUCACAUAUUUUGUGCAGAAGGAAAUAAAAAGUAAGUAAAACACAUUUAUUUUUUCUUUUCUAUGUAAUGGCAAGUGAUCUAUAAAGGAUUUAAAAACCUGUAAGUUUCUCCAUCAGCCUUUGACCUUUGAUUUGGGAAUGUUGUGUUGAAUCAAGAGAGAGGAAUUAACCAUAGUUCUAUUCUGCUAUUACGUUCAUUAAUCUGUCAUACUUCAUCCAACUUUUAAUUCAGUCACAGAUAAGGAAAACGAUGUUGGUGAAAUGCAUUCUGUUCAAUCUAGAAUACUUUACAUCAGAGUCUCAUUGCCAAACCUGCUGUGUUCUGUUUUGUUUGUGCAAUGCAGAUGACAAAGGAACAGCUUGCAAAAUUGUGCAAGACCAUUGUCAACUUCAUUGCACAGACCACCCUGCAGAUCCUGCUGCCGGCCCUGGCCCGCAUUCUAGGGGUGACGGGCUUUUAUGACAACGCUGACUCACUCAAGAUGGGUGGCAGUGCAAGAUCCUUCACUGCCUUUGAGCAGAAAAGACUGGAGCUCAUCCAGGAAGUUAAAUAUUUGGCGAAGUAACUGUGGCAGCAGGGCUCUCCGACCAAGGUCUAGCACACCCUCUUCCAAGAGGUACUGUAUGUUCCCCAUAGUGUGUGUGUGUGUGUGUGUGUGUGUGUGUGCGUGCAGUUAUUCCUAACCCUCAAACUGAUGAACAAUAAUUUCCCCAUUUCAAUAUUUUCCAGCUUUCUAACAGGUGUGUUUUGCAAUAUCUAAUGCACACAUAUAAAUUACAUUUAGAAUACUCAAUUAUAAUGCUUGUUAGAUUUGUUAGCACUAAGAUAUCGAUUUUCCAACUUCAGACAGCAAUUAACAUGCUUUGCUUGUUCAUUUUAAAGUUCCCAGACCUCACUGAAAGCCCACCUGGUAAUGCCAGAGGACAGUAUCAUCAGCAGUGUCCAGGAGCAACUGUCAAAAUCUGACCAAAUGGUGGCUGCAGGACAGCUUUCACAAAUAGAUAAAGUGGUUGGAACUAUGCUGGAGAACAUUGAGAAGAUAAGCAGCGAAUGUGGCGAGGAAUUGGUCUAUCAAGAGUCACUGCGGUCUUCCUCCUCGUUGUCAUUCUCAACUGCCAAAUCACAGAAGACAGAGUGGGAAUUUGCACUCCCUGGCACUCCCAUUCCUUCUGAGUUACCCGAGAGUACUGCUCAGCCCAUUGUAAGAUGUUCAGUCAUUGACAUGAGCAAAUCUACUAAGCCAAAAACAAUGGUGUGUGAUGCCAGAACAAGCAUGUUUGCCAUAGCCGAUACCAUCAUGAAGAAGGUAUAUCCAGAGGCAGAAGGGCAGGUUACAUCUCGCCCUGAUCUAACAGAUGCAAUAGCUAGACUGGAGGAGCUCAUAUCUCAGGGUAGGAUUGGUGCUCUCUCCCGUGAUCUCAGUCACCAAGUCACCCGCAUAAUUUCCGAUAGCAACUUGACCCCUCUGGGACUGACAGUGGCGGCUGGAAAGAGUGCAUCUGAUACCAUCCUUUCGAAGCUGAAGAGGAAUGACAAGGUGGGGAAGCACACAACUUACGAGCUGGUUCAGCUGUUUGUAGAGGAGUCUGUUAAGUGCCUCCUGCUUCCUAGUUUUGUGCCCUAUUCAACUUCAAUGAGUUUGGCUCAGGGGGCCACGGUGUUGGCUAGAGUGUCUGAAGAUAGAAUUUCUAGCUCUUCUUCUUCAUCAGUAUUUAGUGACUCAGUCAGUCUCUUUACCAAAGUUAUGGUAAGCCAGGUCAUGUACUCUGUGCAUUCUGAUGCAGAAAGUAGAGGAUCCUCUCCAACUGAAUCUCUCCAAACAUCUGAAACCACUAUAUCUGAUGUAGGCAAUCUAUUGAGUGGCAAGUCCUCCCCUCGGCUGUCUCCUUCUGGCACCAUUAUGGCAACAAGCGAGACCUCCAAUGCAGCACAAAUCUUGAAGGCCAACAUUGAUGGAGAGGAAGUGGAUACCACCAGUCAUUCUGGUGUAGCUCAAAACAUUGUCAGGGACGAUAUGUCAACCAGCCCAGACAUGGUCAAAGAUGUCACACUUCCAACCCCAUCCUCUGAUAACUUGGGCAGUGAUGAUGACGUCACCGGCCUCAUCAGCAUGUUAGUAAUGAGAAUUCUAACAGAAAUCCAAACCCCAGCAGAAGAUUACCCAGUUGACGCCACACGCAAGUCACAAGACCUGAUCCCUAAAGUUAUGGAGGUCUUCUGUGCAUGGUCAGGCUGCUCUGAGACACAAGCCUAUCCAGAGAACUUGAGGAUUCAUAAAGUCUACAGAGUCGUCUAUAAAAAUCUGUUGGAGGAGUUUGGCUCGGAGAAAAUCCUCCAACAGGCCGUGUCGACUCAGGACUCUUCAUUUGAUAGGAUUCUUGUCAAGUCUUUGAGUGAAGCGCUUCUCCACAGAUGUAAUGAGGCAUUGAGGGCAGCCUCAAGAACAUCAGUCAAAACCACUGGGCCUAAGGCUCUUCCACUGGCUGAGGAUGUGAGGGCUAGCAGCGGGAAACUAUCUUUUCUACAAAGGCUGGUCAGGCUGACAAGCAACUUAAAGGUACAGCAAACGUAUUUAAAUGAACAGUUGUGGGAGAUAAUGUGAGUAAACAAUGCUAUUCAGUGUAAAAAUAUAAAACCAUCCGUUCAUUCCAAAACCAAUCAUAAAUGUUGUUGUGCUGGUGUGGUAGUUGUGAUUGUUAUCAUCAUGAGGUUGGUCAGCUGUGACAUUUUUUAAAACAUGUUUUUCUCUUUAAAUACUUAGCUAUUCAAGAAGGGGAACAAGAAGGAUUCCCACCGCUCUGAAUCAGAACAAGUACAGACCACUGCUGAAGAUGGCAUGCUGCCCAGCAUAGUGCCACAUGCUGCCAUGUCUGCACUGCCAAAGGAUCUCCCCGCCAGCUCCCAACAGGAGACGCCUCACAAACGUCCACUUCUCGUCAGGAUGUUUUCUGCCAUCUCCAAAGGCCUGUUCAAGCCCUUCAAACAGUCCUUAAAGACCAAGUGCAUCCUGUUUCCAUUGAUCAUCCUUGAGAUGUUUCUACAACUUGUUUGGAGUCCUGUGGUAAAUUCAAUUGAUUGGACAUGAUUUGGACAGAAACACAGACCUGGGGGAAGGGUAUGAGAAACAAUAUUCUCUGAUCUGAUGAUACCGAGAUUGAACUCUUUGGCCUGAAUCAGGAUCCUGGGAAAGAUGAACGGAGCAAAGUACAGAGAUCCUUGAUGAAAACCUGCUCCA